GACGAACGCUGGCGGCAUGCUUAACACAUGCAAGUCGAACGAGCUGAUUCCUUCGGGAUGAAAGCGAGUGGCGAACGGGUGAGUAAUGUAUGAGUAACCUGCCUCUGUCUACGGGAUAACAUUUGGAAACAAGUGCUAAUACGGUAUAAGACCACAGCACCGCAUGGUGCAGGGGUAAAAGAUUUAUCGGACAGAGAUGGACUCAUAUCCCAUUAGCUAGUUGGUGAGAUAAUAGCCCACCAAGGCGACGAUGGGUAGCCGAGCUGAGAGGCUGAUCGGCCACAUUGGAACUGAAACACGGUCCAGACUCCUACGGGAGGCAGCAGUGGGGAAUAUUGGGCAAUGGAGGAAACUCUGACCCAGCAAUGCCGCGUGAGCGAUGAAGGUCAUCGAUUGUAAAGCUCUUUUCCUGGGAACGAAACAAAUGACGGUACCCAGGGAAUAAGCCCCGGCUAACUACGUGCCAGCAGCCGCGGUAAUACGUAGGGGGCGAGCGUUGUCCGGAAUGACUGGGCGUAAAGGGUGCGUAGGUGGUUUAAUAAGUUAGAAGUGUAAUACCCAGGGCUUAACUCGGGUGCUGCUUCUAAAACUGUUAUGUUUGAGUGUAGUAGAGGAAAUCUGAUUUCAUGUUUUUCGGUGGAAUGCGUAGAUGUUUUGAAUAACAUCAUUGUCGAAUGCGGCUUUCUGGAGAUAACUUACACUUGAGGUUCGAAAGUGUGGGGGAUCUAAAAGGAAUACAUAUCCUAUUGUCCUUAGGGCGAAUUUGUCAUUGGUUUUUUGUUUUGUGAUGCCUGUCGACUUCUGAGGGGUAAAAAAAAAACAUCUUUAUGUUUUGUAUACUUGCUCUAUUAAUAUGUGUCUGUGUGACUGUGCCUCCUAUUUUCUCCCCCUCUGUUACAUUUGUGUGUAUUCCUUGCCUCUUCUGUGUCUGUAUUUGUCUCCCUGUGCUGGUGUGACUGGCGAGUGAUGUUUUUUUUUUUUCUAGUGUCUCCUGACUCCGC
rnacentral:rRNA from 1 species